rnacentral:rRNA from 1 species
UACAGAGGUCUCAACCGUUGUUCGGAUUCAUUGGGCGUAAAGGGUGCGUAGGCGGUCGCGCAAGUCGGAUGUGAAAUCUCAGGGCUCAACCCUGAAACUGCAUUCGAUACUGCGUGGCUAGAGUGCUGGAGAGGAGACUGGAAUUUACGGUGUAGCAGUGAAAUGCGCAGAUAUCAGGAGGAACACCGGUGGCGAAGGCGGGUCUCUGGGCCGAUACUGACGCUGAGGAGCGAAAGCGUGGGGAGCGAACAGG